AUACGGAGGAUCCGAGCGUUAUCCGGAUUUAUUGGGUUUAAAGGGAGCGUAGGUGGACUGGUAAGUCAGUUGUGAAAGUUUGCGGCUCAACCGUAAAAUUGCAGUUGAUACUGUCAGUCUUGAGUACAAUAGAGGUGGGCGGAAUUCGUGGUGUAGCGGUGAAAUGCUUAGAUAUCACGAAGAACUCCGAUUGCGAAGGCAGCUCACUGGACUGCAACUGACACUGAUGCUCGAAAGUGUGGGUAUCAAACAGGAUUAGAUACCCUGGUAGUCCACACAGUAAACGAUGAAUACUCGCUGUUUGCGAUAUACAGUAAGCGGCCAAGCGAAAGCAUUAAGUAUUCCACCUGGGGAGUACGCCGGCAACGGUGAAACUCAAAGGAAUUGACGGGGGCCCGCACAAGCGGAGGAACAUGUGGUUUAAUUCGAUGAUACGCGAGGAACCUUACCCGGGCUUAAAUUGCAGUGGAAUGAUGUGGAAACAUGUCAGUGAGCAAUCACCGCUGUGAAGGUGCUGCAUGGUUGUCGUCAGCUCGUGCCGUGAGGUGUCGGCUUAAGUGCCAUAACGAGCGCAACCCUUAUCUUCAGUUACUAACAGGUCAUGCUGAGGACUCUGGAGAGACUGCCGUCGUAAGAUGUGAGGAAGGUGGGGAUGACGUCAAAUCAGCACGGCCCUUACGUCCGGGGCUACACACGUGUUACAAUGGGGGGUACAGAAGGCAGCUAGCGGGUGACCGUAUGCUAAUCCCAAAAGCCUCUCUCAGUUCGGAUCGAAGUCUGCAACCCGACUUCGUGAAGCUGGAUUCGCUAGUAAUCGCGCAUUAGCCACGGCGCGGUGAAUACGUUCCCGGGCCUUGUACACACCGCCCGUCAAGCCAUGGGAGCCGGGGGUACCUGAAGUACGUAACCGCAAGGAUCGUCCUAGGGUAAAACUGGUGACUGGGGCU
rnacentral:rRNA from 1 species